GCUUCGUUCAUAGGCUAGUCAUGCCAAAUUUUGUGCAAAGAGAUCAUGGCAAAUGAUCUCCGAGAUUACUAUACGGCUUUUCGGGAUGCGCCAUCUUGCUAUAGUUGCUUCUAUUGUCUACGAUACCAUACUUCAAAAGCGAAUUUCAAAAGAACGAGAUUUAAUUCGCGACGCCAUCUUGCCAAGUGGGCCAAACACAAUUGAGCAACAAUGCCAUGGCCCAAGGGAAAAAUAUUCCCAUUGCCCCAUUGGGAUGAAGAAAUGUUCAUAUACCAUUGUGUUCGUGGCCCACUUUGCAGCUUUGAAUGAAUGUUAAAUUUACAAG